GACGAACGCUGGCGGCGUGCUUAACACAUGCAAGUCGAACGCUGAAGCUCAGCUUUUGUUGGGUGGAUGAGUGGCGAACGGGUGAGUAACACGUGAGUAACCUGCCUCCUUCUUUGGGAUAACGCCCGGAAACGGGUGCUAAUACUGGAUAUUCACUGGUCUUCGCAUGGGGGUUGGUGGAAAGGGUUUUUCUGGUGGGGGAUGGGCUCGCGGCCUAUCAGCUUGUUGGUGGGGUGAUGGCCUACCAAGGCUUUGACGGGUAGCCGGCCUGAGAGGGUGACCGGGCACAUUGGGACUGAGGUACGGCCCAGACUCCUACGGGAGGCAGCAGUGGGGAAUAUUGCACAAUGGGCGCAAGCCUGAUGCAGCGACGCCGCGUGAGGGAUGGAGGCCUUCGGGUUGUGAACCUCUUUCGCUAAUGGUCAAGCCGCAACAAUGGUUGUGGUGAGGGUAGUGGGUAAAGAAGCGCCGGCUAACUACGUG
rnacentral:rRNA from 1 species